rnacentral:rRNA from 1 species
UACGUAGGGUGCGAGCGUUGUCCGGAAUUAUUGGGCGUAAAGAGCUCGUAGGCGGUGUGUCGCGUCGGCCGUGAAAACCUGGGGCUCAACUCUGGGCGUGCGGUCGAUACGGGCAUCACUUGAGUUCGGCAGGGGAGACUGGAAUUCCUGGUGUAGCGGUGAAAUGCGCAGAUAUCAGGAGGAACACCGGUGGCGAAGGCGGGUCUCUGGGCCGAUACUGACGCUGAGAAGCGAAAGCAUGGGGAGCGAACAGG